GACAGAGGGUGCAAACGUUGUUCGGAAUUACUGGGCGUAAAGCGUGCGCAGGCGGUUUUGUAAGUCAGAUGUGAAAUCCCCGGGCUUAACCUGGGAACUGCGUUUCUAACUGGCAGGCUUGAGUGUGGCAGAGGGGGGGUGGAAUUCCACGUGUAGCAGUGGAAAUGCGUAGAGAUGUGGAGGAACACCGAUGGCGAAGGCAAUCCCCUGGGCCUGCACUGACGCUCAUGCACGAAAGCGUGGGGAGCAAACAG
rnacentral:rRNA from 1 species